rnacentral:lncRNA from 1 species
AAUUAUAUGGAGGUUUGUAUCUAUUUAAAAAGCCAAAUAUAUUACACUGAGAUCAUCCAAAAACUUGCUAUGUGUUCUUUAUUACUCUCCUAAACUAUUGUGUUAAAGUGUAACAUUCCAAUAGUAGUCAUUAUAUCCUGAAGAUCAAACUGCCUUUGUUUGUCCUUCUUGCACUGAGAUAUUUUAUCUUGAGGGGUGGAAUUUGGUUUUAAGGACCGUGUUGUCGCAUACCUUAACUAUUUGCUACUUUUCGUCCAAACUUUGCUGUUUUUAGUCCUAAAAUUCCAACAAUCUUAAGACCAAAUAUAAGUGAUAUUUCACCACAAGAUCUCUCUUCAUCAAUCGUUGGACAUGCUACUCCCAUGGCCCCUGCACUUACUACUCUCACUGCCGAUCUUCCUGUAGUAGCUUUCGCUAUCGUCGCUGGAAAAAACUUGCCAUAUACUUCCAAGAUUGAAUUGUUCAAUGGAGAAAAUUUCAAAUGUUGGCAACAAAAGGUCAUCCAAUGACAUACUGGAUGUUCACAGCCUUGCUGACUAUCUACAAUCAUCACCACUAAAAAAGAGUAUUAAAGAUUAUGACUAGAAAUUUCAUAAUUGGAAUGUUGGUAAUAAGGUCUGUAAGUACACAAUACUGAAUACUAUUGUCAGUUCACUCUAUGAUGUUUAUUAUCCAUAUAAGAAUGCAUAAGAGAUAUGGGCACUACGUAAGAUAAAAUAUAUGGUUGAAGAUGUUAGGACUCAAUAACAUUAUAUCGGUGAUUUUCUACAUUUUAGGAUAGUGGAUGGUAAAUCUAUGUUCGACCAAAUCCGUGGAAUGACCAAAUCUAUGAAUAAUACAUAUUGGUUAAUAACCUUAAAAAAGAGGAAAUAUUUCUUCCUGAAUGAUUUGUAACUGGUUGUUUAAUUGAGAAACUGCCAGAAUCAUGGUAAGAUUAUAUUAAAACCUUAAAACAUAAGAAGAAACAAGUGAGUCUUGAAGAUGCAACUACCUAUAUUAGAAUUGAGGAGAAGAAUAAAUUAGAGAUGCAUUUGAUAAAAGCAAGGAAUUUUAUUGCAAUGCAAAUUUAAUAUAGAACACUCUUCAACCUAAUAAAAAGCAAUAAACACCCUAAUAACCCCAAAAGCCCAUUGCUAAGAAGAAAGUUCAUUGUUUUGUUUGUGAAAAAAAUUGGGCAUUAUGCUAUCAAUGCAGGCAUAAAACUUAGAAAAGGACAAAAAACAAAAAACCUCCUAAAGCCGAUGUGGCUAAAGGAGAAGGAGAUGACAUCAUUACUAUUGUAAUUGUUUCUGAGGUGAACAUGGUAGAUGGAAGCAAGGAUUGAGUGACUGAUUUUGGCACUACAAGAUAUAUAUGUAACAAUGAUUUUGGCACUGCAAGAUAUAUAUGUAGCAAUAAAAACUUUUUCUUUGACUAUACUCUAGCAAGGGAAGGAGAGGAAGUCAUUUACCUUAGUGAUUCUUGGUCUACUCUGAUCUUAGGCAAAGGGUAAAAUUCUUCACAAAAUAUUGUACUCCAUGUUCCUUAGAUCAAAUACAAUUUAGUGUCUAUUUAUAUGUUAGGCAAAGCUCGGCUUAAAGUGUCUUUUGAGGGUGAUAAAAUUGUAAUAACAAAAAAUAGUAUGUUUGUUAGGAAAGGGUAUUGUUCGAGAGAACUCUUCAAACUCAAGGUAUUUAAUGUUAUAAUGAAUGAAACGACUUUUUCUUCUGCUUAUAUUGUUGACUAUAUUCAUCUUUGGCAUCGAAGAUUUGGUCAUAUGAAUUUUUUUUAUACUAAGAAAACGAAAGAACUUGGUUUAUUGUCUAAUUUAGGCUUGUCUAAUGACAAAUGCAAGGUAUGUGUGGAAAGCCAAAUCCACUAAGAAGAAUGUAAACAAGUUCAACAUAGAGAAAUUGAACUCCUCAAUUUAAUUCACAGCGACCUUGAUAAUUUAGAACAGACCAUGACCAGAGGAGGCAAAAGGUAUUAUAUUAAUUUUAUUGAUUAUUCUCAAGAUAUGCAAAUGAGAUUGGGAACUUGAAAAGUUCUUGCUCUAUAAAGUGAACUUGAAAAUCAAUUUAUUAAGAAAAUUAAAAUGUUAAGAACUGAUAAAGGAGGUGAAUAUGAUGUUAAAUGCUUAUUGUGAGAAUCAUGGUAUCAUCCAUGAAGUGACACCUCCAUAUUAAAUGAAUCUAAUGGUGCAAUUGAAACAAAAAAUAGAACUUUGAAGAACAUGACAGAUGCCAUGAUAAUAAGUUUUGGGGCACUGCUGAACUUUUGGGGGGUAACUAUGUUAUCUACUUGUCAUGUUUAAAACAUAAUACUUUGUAUUAAAAAAAAAUAAGUGAGACACCUUAUGAAUUUUGGAGAGGAUAUAAGCCUAACUUAUCAUACCUCAAAAUGUAGGGGUGUCUUCCUAAAGUUCUUAAACCGAAUCCCAAAAGAACAAGAUUGCGACAAAAAACUAUCAAUUGUAUGUUUAUAGCGUAUGCCCACAAUAAUACUGCUUAUAGGUUCUUAGUACUGCAAGAUGAAAGUCUCUCAUUUGAGGCUAAUACUAUCAUUGAGCCCAAAAAUACUGACUUCUUUCAAUAUAUUUUUCCUAAAAAGACUAGCAUCGAGAAACGAUUGCCUUAUACUAAGUCAACAUUUGAUUCCUCUGAAAGUUCAGAUGCAAAACCAAGAACAAGCACAAGAAUGAGAAAAGCCACUAAUUUUGGUGAUGAUUUCUAUGUCUUUCUUGCUGAGAAUGGUCUUUAGACCUUCACAAAAGCUAUGACUUCUCAAGAUGCACUAUUAUGUAAGGAAACUGUCAACAAUGAACUAGAUUCCAUCAUGAGCAAUUAUGUAAGGGAGUUAGUUGACUUACCUUUAGAUACAAAACCUAUUGGGUGCAAGUGGGUUUUCAAAAAGAAAUUAAAAGCCGAUAGAUCUAUUAAUAAAUAUAAAACAAGAUUGGUGGCCAAGGGAUUCACAUAGAAGAAAUAUAUAGAUGUCUGUAACUUAAAUUACAUCUAUUAGAGUUUUAAUUACUCUUGCAGCAAUUCAUAAUAUACAUGUGCAUCAAAUGGAUGUUAAAGUUGCCUUUCUCAAAGGAGACUUGGAUGAGGAGAUAUUUAUAGAUCAACUUGAAGGUUGUUUAGUUUAAGGUUCUGAGCAAAAGGUGUGCCAGUUGGUUAAGUUUAUAUAUGACUUAAAACAAGUACCAAAACAAUGGCAUGUGAAAUUUGAUCAAAUAUUAUUAUCCAACAAAUAUACGAUUAAUGAUUCAAAUAAAUAUAUCUAUUCUAAAUCCAUUAACACUAAUACUUUUGUCAUCAUGUGCCUUUAUGUAGAUGACAUGCUUAUUCUAAGUUCCACUAUUGGAACUAUUGAUGGGACUAAAGAGAUGUCGGCCUCUAAUUUUGAUAUGAAAGAUAUGGAAACGACAAACGUGAUUUUAGUCAUCGAAAUCAUAAAGAGUUAUGAUGGGCUCAUGUUAUCUCAAGAACAAUAUGUUUAAAAGCUGUUGAGGAGAUUUGGGUAUUAUGAUUGCAAAAUGGUGUUAAUUUCAUAUGAUGGUAAUACCCACUUAAAAAAGAAUGUUAGACAUAGUGUUGCUCAAGUGAUAUAUGCCCAAAUAAUGAAAUACAAGUGUGCAACCCAAGAGGGGGGGGGUGAAUUGGGAUUCUAAAAAUUAUUGGGUUAUAAGACAAAUUAUCAAGCAAAUCUAAGAUGAAUUUAAUGGAAUAACAAUUAAAUCAACUACAAUAUAAAAAGAUAAGGGAAGAGAGAUUCAAACACGAAGAUUUUUACGUGGUUUGGCCAACCUCGCCUACGUCCACACCUCCAAACUUUUCGGGCUUGAGGAUUUCACUAAGCAAGCCUCCAAGGCUUCAAAUGCUUACACUUGACUUCCAAGAUGUCAAUGAAACUUUACAACAAGAGAUUAUCCCCAAUCUCUUAACCCAAGUGUAUCCCAACACUUACAAUCACUCAAAGUAAAAGAUUAAAAAUUAUUUUUCUCUCACACAAUAUUUAAGAUUACAAAUCAAUGCCCAAUGUGUGAAUAGAUGAAGCACGAAUGUGUUUUAAAGCUCUAUGAAGAUUAUAUUCUCGAAUAUAAGCUCAAUGGUCGUGUUGUGAUCAAUCUUGUUUGAAUUUGGAUGAGCUUAUUUAUAGUUAGAACUAAAAAACUAGCCGUUAUAGGCUGUCUGCUCGAAAACGUUUCGCCGUUAGCCAUUAACGGUUCACCGUUUUAGGCUGGUCAAUAUUACCGUUUGACCAAUUUUCAAAUAAACGGUUUACCGUUUAGGGUUACCCUUUCGCCAUUAAAUUUCAGAAACCUGCAAGAUGAACAUCAGUUAUCCGUUUAUAUUAAACGGUUAAGGAUUUGCAUGAAAUGACCUCUCUGGAAGUUGUCGGUUAAUCGUUUGUAACAAACAGUUCGCCGUUUGUUUCCAGUAACUUGUAAAACAAAUUAGCCUUAUUCGGUUUUGUUAUAUGGUGCAAGAUGAGUACAAUCUUCAAUUCUGGAUUUUAUCGGUUAAUCGUUUAAAUAAAUGGUCCACCGUUAAAUUCCAGUAACCUUCCCAACUUUUUGUGAUUUCUGUUUUUCUUAAUCGGUUAGAGCUUAGGCAAUAUGUUGCUCUCUGGUUUUAAUCGGUUAACCGUUUCAAUAAACGGUUCACCGUUUAUUUCCAGAAUCUCAGUUUAAGCCAGAUUUUGUAGAGAAUUAUUUUCCAAUUUGAAAUUUAACAGUGAUCCAUCUUUUAUGAAUAUAAUUGGAAUGUUUAUAAGGCUCUCGUUUAUUAAGGAAUAGCUCCAACAUUUUAAUAAAAAACCAUUUAAAGUUUGUUAUCAUUAAAAUCAAUAUUAUUAAAAUAUUCAUGUUAAAAAUCUCCCCAUUUUUGAUGAUGACAAACUUCAAUUAAUAUUUUGCUCCCCCUUAAUAUAUGACCAAAUUAAAAAAAAUGUCCAAUAAAAUAAUUUGUGUUCAAGGAGACAUUUUAAAAACAAAAUUCAUUUCAAAUCUCCCCAUAAUUAUCUCCCCCUUCAUCAUCAAAAAGAAAAGAGAGGAAAGAAAUUCGUAAAUCUGUAGAAGAAAAGAAGUUACCCAGUUUUGGCGAGCAAAAAAUUUGGCAGAGUUUCCCCUUAAAAUGGAGCAAAACCACUAAUACAAAAUGAGAUUAAAAACUCCAUCAACUAAUAAACCAACAAUUUCAUUAACCAAUAUCAAGUCAUCCAACAUCAAGAACAUCACAAAAACAUGUCAUCAAAAUCCAUCAAGAUCAUAUAGAGGUAGCAGUGUGUAUAAAAAUAUAAAUAACAACACACAAACAAACAAAAUAUGAAAUGUAUGUGCGAAAAUAGAACUUAGAAACUAUGGAGGUGGAGAAGAUGUGCUCCCCAGAUCAUAACCGAAAUAGCGGAGAAGAGUGCACUGUCCAGCGAUAAGCUCAAGCUGCUGAUCAAUGCUCUGCUGCUGGAAGGUCUGAAAGUCAGAACGUAUGUGCUGGUGGUCAUGGGAGAAAGUGUCCAAACGAUCGAUAAUCAACUGCUGCCGCUUCGAAAUCCUGCGAAAAUCAGCAACCAACUGCUGCAUAACGUCCGAAGUAGGGGGCUGAACUGGAGCUGGAGGUGGCUCAGAAGCAGAGGGCUGCUCAGGAACAGUAGAUGGCUUAGGAGCAGGAGGCUGCUCGGGAGCCAGAGGCGGCUCGACAGAGGAGGGAAUGUCAGCAUCCAUCGCACGCUCCUCAGAGUCAGAGUCAGCUGGAGGCCGGGGGACAAAACGGCGACGCGGAGGAUGAAGAUGAGCUCCUAAUCUAAAAUCUAGAAGCUUAUCGGGAGGAUAAACAUCAUUGAGCAUCCGAUCGUCCUAUGGAGCAAUCAAGGUAUCCCGGUUUUUGGAGUUUUUAGUUUUUAUCCACUCUCCAUUCUUCCUAGAAAAACCGAUACUAGUCAUGGCCUCUGGACCAAUCCGUCUAGUCUCCAUAUAACCGGUAUCGAGAAGAGGCACCUCAAAGUGUCGCAGUAUCUUAGUAAUGAUACUGCCAUAUGGAAGCAAACAGUGGUUAACCGUGGGAGUACUCAACAUGUGCUGCACAAUAACAUAGCCGAGGUUAAUGGGACGACCUAAAAUGAGGCUAUCUAAUAGGCCAACGUCCAACCUCGUAACCUCAUCCGAGUGACCCUUCCUAGGUGUCACUAUGUGCUGUAAAAUAGUGUGAAGAAUGCGAACUUGGAGAGGUAAAAGUUGAGACCGAAAAGGUAGAUUACAGAUCUCAUUAGACAAGUCUCGACGGUGACAAAUAUUACGGAUUCCAUCAACAUGACUAAAACCGUCAAAAGAAAGGGCUUUCCUAGAGGUAUAAAUUUCAUGACCCUCACUAGAGAUACCUAGAAAGCCAUUUAGGUCUUCAUCAUCAAACUCUAUAGGCACACCGCCGACUUGAGUAACUAUCCUAUCUAGGCGAGUUGCGGAGAUUUCUAUGUUCGAAUAAAAGACUCGCACUAAAUUGGGAUAAACUCGGUCAUUAAAGUCAAUGGUAGAUUCCCAAGGAUGAAGCAUAUCCCUAAUGCUUCUAUCACAUACAACUAAGGUACUGAAAUCAUCUAUUUCAACAUAGGAAGAGUCAAGUACCUUUUGACCAUUGAAGCUAUCCUCGAACCGCUUGGCCAAAGAAGGCAUGGGGAAAUGAAUUCUUGCGAAUUCAUAGACUUCCUGUGGUGGUAUAAGAUUCCUUGGAGGCACAGAUUUUCUCAUGAGAUUUCUCCGAGGGGGCUCAGCCAUGGUGAAGAGUAAGGAAGUUUGAAAAAUUUGAGAGAGAUGUGAGGAGAAGAAGAUGAACCGAUUAUUUGUUUAGGAAUGAGUAAAUGAUGUGAUUUUAAGGCUCAAUUUGGUUGAAGAAGGGCAAGGAUCAGGUAAAAAAUGAAAAAACCCGAACGACUGCACUUAGGGUUUGGAUUUGGGAUUUUUCGAUUUUGGGCUUGAUUUGAAGAUUUGAAUCGGUGAAAGUGUUCUAAAGGUGAUAAGAAAUGAUGUUAUAGGUUUUAUUUGGCAAGAAAAACAAGAAAAAUAAAGGUUUGAGGGCAGAUGAAGCUUCGGCUGCGCAACAAUGGCCGAAAUGGUGAAAGGGCAACUGGAGAAGGAGAAGAAAAACCUUUGAACAGUUUUAUAUUCACGAAAAUGGUUAACCAUUUAUUUAAAUGGUUAAGGGUAACUUCCAGAGGCUAAGGAAUGGAAAACGGUGAAAGGUUAAUCUCUUAACGGCUAAAGAGUAACUUCUAGAGAGCUCUCUGUUUUUAAACGAUUUACCAAUUACAUCAAUCGGUAAAAGGGUUAAAAGGCAGACAUCAUAAUCUAGUUUUUGGAAUAAAAUGGUACACCAUUUAUUGGAAAAGGUUAGCCGUUUAAUUUAUCUAUAAUUUCGCACAUUUGAUUUAAUUUUUGGCCAGCAAAUAAUACAUUCCAAGAUCAUUUAAUUGAUCUAAAAAUAUUUUAUGAGCCAUUUUAAUGCAUGAUUCAUGAACAUGUAUUUAAGCAAUUAAUUCAUAUAAUCAAUCAAGAAUUAACAAAGCAAGCACAUCAUUUGAAUAUCAAGCUUAAGCAUUUCAUAAAUAUUAAAUCAUCAAAUCACUAAUAAGUCAAUCAAUUCAAUACACUCAAUAGCAUGAAUAGAGACAUUAAUGCGAAAAUUUCAUCAUCCCAAGUUCAUACCGAAUCUUUGAAAAUUGUUCUUCGCCAAGAGGUUUGGUAAAAAUAUCGGCGAGUUGUUUUUCUGUAGAGAUAAACUCUAAUGCAAUAUCCCUCUUUUGAACAUGAUCUCUCAAGAAAUGAUGUCUUAUUUCUAUAUGCUUGGUUCAAGAGUAUUGAAUGAGAUUCUUUGAAAGAUUUAUAGCACUAGUAUUAUCACACUUAAUAGGAAUUUGUUCUAGGUUAAUACCAUAGUCUCUAAGUGUUUGUUUCAUCCAAAGAGCUUGUGUACAACAACUUCCUGCAGCCAUAUAUUCAGCCUCGGUGGUUGAGAGUGCAACAGAAUUUUGUUUCUUGCUAAACCAUGAAACAAGUGAGUGACCUAGGAUAUAGCAUGUUCCACUAGUGCUUUUCCUAUCAACUUUAUAAUCCGAAAAAUCUACAUCCGAAUAGCAUGUUAAAUCUAUAUGAGUUCCCCUAGGAUACCAAAGGCCAAUAUCUAUGGUUCCACUUAAAUAACGGAAAAUUCUUUUAACAACAAGCAAAUGGGAUUCCUUGGGACAUGAUUGAAAUCUUGUGCACAAACAUACACUAAACAUGAUAUCGGGUCUACUUGCAGUUAAAUAAAGUAAAGAUCCGAUCAUACCUCCAUACAUUUUGAUAUCCACUUCUUUGCCUUUUUCAUCUUUGUCAAGUUUGGUUGUUGUGCUCAUUGGAGUGUUUUUGGUCUUUGAGUCAUCAAUGCCAAAUCUUUUGAGUAGAUCUUUUACAUACUUGGCUUGAUUUAUGAAAAUUCCUUCCUCAUUUUGUUUUAUUUGAAGCCCAAGGAAGUACUUCAACUCUCCUAUCAUACUCAUUUCAAAUUCAUUACUCAUGCAAGAUGAAAAUUCUUUACACAACAAUUCAUUAGUAGAACUAAAAAUAAUAUCAUCAACAUAAAUUUGAACAACAAGUAUGUCUUUAUCCUUAUGUUUGACAAAGAGAGCAGUAUCCGCUUUACCCAUUGAAAAAUCAUUUUCUAACAAGAAAUUCUUAAGCCUAUCAUACCAUGCUCUAGGUGCUUGUUUUAAUCCAUACAAAGCUUUAAAUAACUUAUAAACAUGAUUUGAAAAUUUUUCAUUUUCAAAAUCAGGGGGUUGUUUUACAUACACUUCUUCCAUUAUAAAACCAUUCAAAAAAGCACUUUUCACAUCUAUUUGAAAUAAAAUGAAAUCUUUAUGACAUGCAAAUACCAACAACAUUCUAAUUGAUUCUAGUCUAGCUACGGGUGCAAAUGUUUCAUCAAAAUCAAUUCCUUUUUCUUGGUUGUAACCUUGAGCCACUAAUCUAGCUUUAUUUCUUACAACCACACUAGAUUCAUCCAUCUCAUUUCUAAAUAUCCAUUUAGUACCGAUGACAGAUUGAUAUUCCGGUUUAGGAACUAAUUCCCACACAUUGUUUCUUUCAAAUUGAUUUAACUCCUCUUGCAUUGCCAUAAUCCAAGAUUCAUCAUUUUCCGCAUCCGCAAAGGAUUUGGGUUCAAUUUGAGAAAUAAAUGCAUUAUGCUCACAAAUAUUUUUAAGUGAUGAUCUAGUUGUAACACCUCGUAAGGGAUCUCCUAAAAUUACAUCCUUAGGGUGAGAAGAAACAUACCUCCACUCCUUGGGGAAUGCUUGAGAAGUACCUUCAUGUUGCUCCAUAUUUGUUUGCUCUUCUUGUUCAUCCUCUUGAUUUCUUUGUGGUGCAUUCUCUUGUUUAUCCUUUGAUGGUUCUUUUUGUAACUCUCCAUCUGCAUCAUCAUAAUUUACUCCUUUCUCUGUAGAGGAGGGGUUAGACUCAUCAAAUAUAACAUGCAUAGAUUCUUCUACAACUAGUGAACUUGAAAUUAUAAACUCGAUAAGCUUUGCUUGAGUUUGAAUAUCCAAGAAAAAUACCAAUAUUUGAUUUUGGAUCAAAUUUGCCAAGAUUGUCUUUUUGUUAAAAAUAAAACAUGUGCAACCAAAAACUUUGAAAUAACCAAUAUUGGGUUUUCUAAUUUUCCAAAGCUCAUAUGGAGUUUUGUUAAGGCUAGGUCUAAUCAACACACGAUUUAAAACAUAACAAGCGGUGUUGAUGGCCUCGGCCCAAAAAUACUUAGGCAAUGAAUUUUCAUUCAACAUAGUCCUAGCUAUUUCUUGAAUGGAUCUAUUCUUUCUCUCAACAACUCCAUUUUGUUGUGGAGUUCUAGGUGAUGAAAAUUGAUACUCAAUACCAAAAUCAUUACAAAAAGUCUCAAAUGCAUGAUUUUCAAACUCUCCUCUAUGAUCACUCCUAAUGCAUGCAAUACCAUACCCUUUUUCAUUUUGAAUUUUCUUACAAAACACUUUAAAGGCAUCAAUAGCAUCAUACUUAUUAGCUAAGAAUAAUACCCAUGUAUAUCUAGAAUAAUCAUCCACUAUCACAAAUGCAUAAUCAUGCAAUGUUUUGUUCUCUACUUCUAUGCAUGCAAUUCUUGCAUUUAGAGAUUCAUUUUCAUUUUUAAGAUUUGCCAUUUCCUUUUUAAGACAUACAUUCUUUCUACCAAUCUUCAUAAACUCAUUAUGCAAUUCUUUAAAAGCAUCAUACAAUUCAUCAUAGGUGGGAUCACUUACCUCAUUGAGAUCAUCAUCCCCUCCUAUUGCCAUAAGCGCUAGGUUUGAUACUUCUUGCGACCCUUCUUUAUCACUUAAAUCUUCCUCGCUAUCAUCCCAAGUUGCAACCAUGGCUUUCUUCUUCAGUUUGUUGAUAAGUGGGCACUCCGAUCUUAUAUAGCCAGGCUUCUUGCAUUCAUAGCAUGUGAUUACCUCUUUAUUCUCCCUUUGGUUCUUGAAGUUUCUGAAAUUUCUUCGUUCUUCGGUUUUCUUGAAAAAUUUUCUGAACCUCCUUGCUAGCAUGGCCAACUCUUCAUCAUCCGGUUCACUCUCCCCAUCACUCUCAUAUUUUGAAGCUUUGAGAGUAAUGCUUUUUCUUUUUCUCCUCAUGCCCUUUUUCCGCGGCCAAAUCUUCUUCAUAUGAAAUGAGAGAACCAAUUAAAUCAUCAAGAGGUAAAGUAUUUAAAUCUUUGGUCUCUUCAAUAGCGGUUCUUUUAGGUCUCAAUUCUUUUGGAAGUGACCUAAUGAUUUUCUUAACUUUCUCGCUAUUUGAGAAGGUUUUUCCUAGGGCUCCUAGGGUGUUGACUAUGUCCGUAAAUCUCAUAUACAUAGAGUACACACUUUUAUUUUGUUCUAUUUUGAACAACUCAUAUUGUUUAGUGUACCUACAAAUUUUUAACUCUUUCACUUAAUUUGUGCCUUCAUAGACUACUUCAAGUUUAUGCCAAAUUUCAUUGGCACUUUCACAAUUAGAUACUCAAUGAAAUUCCUUCUUGUCAAGUGCACAAAAUAAAGCAUUCAUAGCUUUAGAAUUUAGAGAAGAUUUUCUCUUUUCCAAUUCAUCCCAUUCCCUUGACGGUUUUGGAAUAUCUUCCCCGACUUCAUUUUUAGUUAGGGGCAAAAACAAACCAUCACAUACAACUUCCCAAAUUUCAUAAUCUAGUGCUUGUAAAUAAAUUCUCAUCCUAGUUUUUCAAUAUGGGUAGUCAUUUCCGUCAAAGAACGGUGGUCUAGUUGUGGACUAUCCUUCCCUAAAGGUUGAGUCAUUUUGGAUUGUCAUGGAUCUUUUACUCUAGACGGUUAAGUCCUAACAAGAGAAUCAGGCUCUGAUACCAAAUGAAAUACAAAUGUGCAACCCAAGAGGGGGGGGUGAAUUGGGAUUCUAAAAAUUAUUGGGUUCUAAGACAAAUUAUCAAGCAAAUCUAAGAUGAAUUUAAUGGAAUAACAAUUAAAUAAAUUACAAUAUAAAAAGAUAAGGGAAGAGAGAUUCAAACACGAAGAUUUUUACGUGGUUUGGCCAACCUCGCCUACGUCCACACCUCCAAGCUUUCCGGGCUUGAGGAUUUCACUAAGCAAGCCUCCAAGGCUUCAAAUGCUUACACUUGACUUCCAAGGUGUCAAUGAACCUUUACAACAAGAGAUUGUCCCCAAUCUCUUAACCCAAGUGUAUCCCAACACUUACAAUCACUCAAAUUAUUUUUCUUUCACACAAUAUUUAAGAUUACAAAUCAAUGCCCAAUGUGUGAAUAGAUGAAGCACAAAUGUGUUUUAAAGCUCUAUGAAGAUUGUAUUCUCGAAUAUAAGCUCAAUGGUCGUGUUGUGAUCAAUCUUGUUUGAAUUUGGAUGAGUUUAUUUAUAGCUGGAACUAAAAAACUAGCCAUUAUAGGCUGUCUGCUCGAACGAUUCGCCAUUAGCCAUUAACGGUUCACCGUUUUAAGCUGGUCAAUAUUACCGUUGGGCCAAUUUUCAAAUAAACGGUUUACCGUUUAGGGUUACCCUUUCGCCGUUAAAUUCCAGAGACCUGCAAGAUGAACAUCAGUUAUCCAUUUACAUUAAACGGUUAAGGAUUUGCAUGAAAUGACCUCUCUGGAAGUUGUCGGUUAACCGUUUGUAACAAACGGUUCGCCGUUUGUAACAAACGGUUCGCCGUUUGUUUCCAGUAACCUGCAAAACAAAUUGGCCUUAUCCGGUUUUGUUAAAUAGUGCAAGAUGAGUACAAUCUUCAAUUCUGGAUUUUAUCGGUUAAUCGUUUAAAUAAACGGUCCACCGUUAAAUUCCAGUAACCUUCCCAGCUUUUUGUGAUUUCCUUUUUUCUUAAUCGGUUAGAGCUUAGGUAAUAUGUUGCUCUCUGGUUUUAAUCGGUUAACCGUUUCAAUAAACGAUUUACCGUUUAUUUCUAGAAUCUCAGUUUAAUCCAGAUUUUGCAGAGAAUCAUUUUUCAAUUGGAAAUUUAACAGUGAUCCAUCUUUUAUGAAUAUAAUUGGAAUGCUUAUAAGGCUCUUGUUUAUUAAGGAAUAGCUACAACAUUUUAAUCAAAAACCAUUUAAAGUUUGUUAUUAUCAAAAUCAAUAUUAUUAACAUAUUCAUGUUAACAAAUAAUUAGUGGCCUAAUGUACUUGAUGAAUAAUACAAGACCUGACAUCGCAUACGCUGUAAGAAAAUUGUUUGGGUUGACUCAAAAUUUAAAGAAGGAUCAGUAAACCGCAUCAGCCAGACUAGCAAGAUAUUUGAGAGGCACUAUUGAUUACAAGCUUAAAUAUAGUAGAUUUCUACCAAUACUUAAAAGGGUAUAGUGAUGCAAAUUGAGGAUCUCUGAAUCAAAUGAGCUCAAAUCCACUAGUGGUUAUAUUUCCACCCUUGGUGGAGGUGCAAUAUCUUAAAAAUCAUCCAAGCAUGUUUCGAGACUGGGUGGCUACAGAACCUCUUGGUAGAUCUUCUAAUUUUUGCUCACCCUCUUAUUGUUGUGCCAAUCCAUUGUGAUUAUCAAGCUACUAUUGGCAAAAGCUAAGAGUAAAAUAUAUAAUGGGAAGAAUAGACACAUACAUAUGAGGCAUAGUAUUGUUAAGCUACUGGAAUCAAGUGUUGUGAGCAUAGGUUUGUAAGUCAAAAUUGAAUUUGGCUGAUCCUAUGAUAAAACCACUAAACAAGAGUUUGGUGGAGAUCAUGUUGAGGAGGAUGGAAUUACUGUCUAGAUCAGAAGAGAAGAGUAAUAGUAACCUUACCUAUGUGAUUGGAGAUCCCAUGAAGUCGAUUCAUAAAGAUGAAAACAAGUUAAUUAUUAUCUUAUAGCACCAUCGAUAUCAUGUAAUCUUAUUUUUAUUUAAUAAAGAUUUCCUUUAUUUAUAAUUCCUCCCUAUGGCGAGAUUGCACUUAUCGUAGUAAUUUAAACUGAGCAAUUGAACUCUUAAUGAACUCCAUAGCCCAAAUUUUGUUUAUGGUGGUGUGUCAUAACUGCAUGACACUUAUGACACACUAGAUGAAAGUUCACCUAUGUGAGUGUGGAACUAGGUCAAUUCUUAUGAGAGUUAGACAAGCUUCUCUAAAGCACUCAUAAAUCCAAGGGCACAAGGCCAUUAAAGUGCCAAACCGCAAAACACCAAAACAUUGAGAGAGAUUAAUGUUAGCCUCUAGUCCUCUUCCUUAAACGAAAAAGAAUAUUGGUUAAUAGAAAUUAUAAAUUCCCAGACUAAGGCCAAUUAAAUGAACCUCAAUAUUCUCCUAGAACAAGCCAACACAGUAGGGCAAGCCCCAUUUAAGUUAAAAAAACACUAUUUGAUAUGUACAUUAUCCCCACAUCGUAACAUGUUUUUUAUUCUAAUUCACAUUCAAAUCUCUCUAUAAAUACACCCUCUAAUCCUUUAAUCCUUCCUUACAAUCAUCUCUCUAAUUAGUUUUAAAUUUAGUAAUUUGCUCUUCCUCCUCAUCUACCAUUACAAUAAAAACAAAGUUACCUACCACAAAUAUAAUUAACCAAAUGGCUAUCAAUAAACUUCUCAAAAUAGGCUCAAGCUUUAGGAAGAAAAGUAGUUGUGAUCAAGAUGGCCAUCCAAAUGAUGUACCAAAGGCCAUUGCAUAGUUAAUAUGGUUUUGGAUUUAAUAGUGAAAGUGAAUUCAGAACGGCCAAUCAAUGAGAAAAAUAUCCAAUAAAUAUCAAAUCUUAAAUCACGAAUUAAACAACUCCUCCAAAUCUCUCUCUAAAUUCUAAACAAUCAAAAUUCAAUAAACUCUGUAACUACACUGUUCAACCCAUACACACCAAGGUAGUAAUUAUGAUUUCAACUUAUUGAGAAUUACCAUUAAACAUUUAUGUUGUGUUUACUUGCUGGAGUGGGAGUGAGGAGUGUGGAUUCCUCCUACUCCAGCGUUUACUUGCUCUAAAUGGGAAGGGAGUGGGAAUCCCACUCCGUGGGCCCCACCCAUUUUUGGAGUGGGGAGUGGGAGUGGGACUCCCAUUGGGGGAGGUGGGAGUGGGAAUCCACUCCCACCUCUCCCUUUUUUACCCU